ACGUCUCUUUACUCCCUUACAGUCUCAGGAAGAUCUCUCAUUGCUCCCCUGCUUGUGCUCACACAUAAUCCUAUUGAAUGAGAAGCUCUAGGACAUCUCAUGUACUGAGUCUUUCUAGUCCUAGUUUAGUAAGACUUUUUAGAAUUAAAAAUAGUAACAAAUGCUACUUAGAAUUUAUCAAACCCUGAAACCAUCAAUCAACGUGACCAAAAAGGUUUUCUUCUGGAAAUCACUUCUGUUCAGCUACGUUAGUUAACCGGCUGGACUCACUGGACCUCAUGAGGAUCAGCGUCACCAUGAUUACACACACGAUCCCCCAGAGCUGCUCUUCUUGGAAGAAAUGUGGAGAGGUGCCCACGUGGGAAGCAGCUUGACUGUUUCCCCAUUGGUCGAGACAACCAUUUCACCACCGUGUACACGACACCCUCACAUCAGUGUAAUAUAUGAUAGGAGUCAGUCAGCUGCUUUGGAUCUUGGCUACAUCUGUGAAGACUCAGGGAAGGAGAGGACUCUGCCUCCAGUUCAAGGAGCAAGAGGACUGGCUCCUCUACUUGGGCCAUGUGAUCAGCACAGCACAUGGUGCUGGUUACAGCUGGAUGACAUAGGAUUCUGUGUGCACGCUCUGAAAAGCUCAGAUAUAAAGGCACUUCCUAGAUUUCUAGGCUUGUGGUGGAAAGCCACGCCUUUCUCAAUAAACAAACAAAAACCAUACAUUUUUUUUUU